rnacentral:lncRNA from 1 species
CUAAUUUCUCUCCGGAAUAACCUAUAUAUACACUUCUUAAUCUAGUAUUAUUCUUCUAACUUUCUUAUUUGUCAUUUUGGAGAUUACCUUCACUUCACGGGAUGCUUGGAUUAUAUUGAUGGAAUGCUUGAAGAUGAUUUCUUGUACCAUGGCUUGUAUUGAAACUAUUGUAGUAUAUGGAUAUAUAUGAAACUUUGUAUGCAUG